rnacentral:rRNA from 1 species
CAAUAGCGUAUAUUAAAGUUGUUGCAGUUAAAAAGCUCGGAGUUGGAUUUCUGGUUGAAGCGACCGGUCGGGCGUUGAUUCGUCUGCACUGGAGUCGGUUUUGGCCAUCCUCUAGGAAAGUGCGUCUGGUAUUAAGUUAUCGGGCGUAUGAUCCUGGUCUUUUACUGUGAAAAAAUUAGAGUGUUUAAAGCAGGCCUUCGCCUUGAAUACAUUAGCAUGGAAUAAUAAGAUAGGACUUUGGUCUAUUUUGUUGGUUUGCAGACCGAAGUAAUGAUUAAUAGGGAUAGUUGGGGGUAUUUAUAUUCCGAUGUCAGAGGUGAAAUUCUUAGAUUUUCGGAAGAUAAACUUAUGCGAAAGCAUUUACCAAGGAUGUUUNCAUUAA